CUUUUUAUCUAGUUUAGACCGUUCAGUGGCCCACCCCAAGUAGCAUUUUCAACGGAAAAAUCGCGAUAUGUUGCGAUUUUAUCGGCGAUAAAAUCGCUAGGAUCAUCAACAUCUGAGCGAUUAUCUUCGACCUUAUCGCGAUAAAAUCGCGAUUUUUUCGCCCGGCAAUUUAUCGCGAUAUUUUCGACUUAAAAAUCGCGAUAUAUGGCGAUUUAAUCUCGAUUUUAUCGACCAAAAUUGAUCGCAAUUUUAUUGAACAAAAAAUUGCGAUGCAUAUAGCGAUUUAAUCGCCGUAAAUCGCAAUUUUUAUUCGAUAAUAUUGCAAUAAAUUUCCACCGAUAUAAUCGCGAUAAUCAACCGAUAAAAUUGCUAUUUAUCGCGAUCACUGCUACUUGGGGAUGUCCUUUAUUGGGGCGAUGAAUCAAUACAGUGAUUGUUCUUAUGUUUGCACAGCCAUGUUCAAAGGUGUUGUGGCGACUCUCCUGAAUCGCUAUUUUGGAAAAUACGUCGAAGAUCUCGACAUCGAGAAUUUGAACGUGGGAUUUUCAGCGGCGACGUGCAGCUCCAAAACCUCAAACUGAAACCAGAGGCUUUUUAUGAGCUGGAAUUACCGAUUGAAGUGAAGGUCGGACUCAUCGAGAAAGUGUCCGUCAAUAUACCGUGGACUGGGUUCCAGACGAGUUCAAUUAAAGUACUAAUAGAGGGUGUUUAUAUAAUCGUCGGACCUGUGACGGACAGACCUUACGACUCUGAAAAGGAUAAAAGGUUGCUACGGGCCUUUAAAAGAAGGAAGAUAGAACUCCUUGAGGAUGAAAAUCUACUUGGAACAGAUGCACCGGAAACCAAAAAUUUCCUCG
rnacentral:lncRNA from 1 species